rnacentral:rRNA from 1 species
AGCGAACGUUAGCGGCGGGCCUAACACAUGCAAGUCGAACGCGAAAGGGAUUCGUCCCCGGUAGCGUGGCGUCCGGGUGAGUAACACGUAGGAAACCUUCCCUAGAGAGUGGGAUAACGUUCCGAAAGGGACGCUAAUACCGCAUAAGCCCACGACCGCUUCGGCGGAUGAGGGAAAAGAUGGCCUCUGUAUACAAGCUAUCACUUUGGGAUGGUCCUGCGGCGCAUCAGCUAGUUGGUAGGGUAAUGGCCUACCAAGGCGAAGACGGGUAGCUGGUCUGAGAGGAUGAUCAGCCACACUGGCACUGAAACACGGGCCAGACUCCUACGGGAGGCAGCAGUGGGGAAUAUUGGACAAUGGGCGCAAGCCUGAUCCAGCCACGCCGCGUGAGUGAUGAAGGCCUUCGGGUUGUAAAGCUCUGUGGGGAGAGGCGAAAACAGUCAUCAAGAAACGGAUGAUUCUUGACGGUAUCUCCUUAGCAAGCACCGGCUAACUCUGUGCCAGCCGCCGCGGUAAAAC